CUUUCUUUAAAAUGACCCAGUCCAGUCGCUCCGUCCUCCUGCUGAUGCUGUCUUCUCUGCACUGCCUGGGAAGUUCUCUUGAGUCAAACCCUAAAGACCCUUCAGUUUUGGCGGAAGCCCCUGGCCAGAACAAAAGAGAUUCUGACAUUUCUCUUGUGCCUCAAAUGCCCGUCCUUCAGCCCAAAGAAACAGCACCGCCUCUGGUCACCUACACCAUAAGAAACCCUCAAGGCAAAGUGUGUGUGAGGGCCAGUUUUGGAGUGGAGUUCGUGGUGAGAGAGAACAAAAAGAAGUAUUAUUUCAACUUGACUCCUAACUCAGCACGGGCCACAGGAUACUGUGCGAACCAAAAGACCGUCCUCUCACUGGAGUUUUCUGGUGGAAAUCUGGAGUUUACUUUCAUCAAGGAUGGGGAUCAGUCCUAUGUGAAGACUGUCAAAGGUUCUCUGAGAGCUGCUCCUCCUUGUAAAAACUGCCCAAGUAAAAUCUAUGUAGGACUGGUGGAUAACGAAAAGUUGUUCAAAGCAAAAAAUGGCCUGAGCUUCAACUGCAAGUCUGAGACGAUGUUGAUACUGGCAGACUACUUCAGACUUAAACUGGUGCCACUGCAGAUUCAAGCCUUCGAUCUGGUCAAUGGGGCAUUUGGAAAAGAGGUUGAAUGCUGGGCGGAUUACAACAAGCGGAUGAUCCCGAUAAUCCUAGGGGCCGUAGCUGCGGCCAUUUGCCUCAUAGCCAUUCUGACCUAUGUGCUCGUCAGAGAACAUCGAAACCAAGGGUAUGAACAACUCUAAGACUCUAGAUGCGGAUCUUGAGGACGAAUCACUAGAUCUUGAGUUUUGGAUUUUGUGAUAUUGCUUCAC
ensembl:processed_transcript